rnacentral:lncRNA from 1 species
CUACCUGACACUCCACUAUGAGUAAGGAUGCGUAGUUGCGUUCAAUCAAAAGGAAUAAGAAUGCGUACUUGUGUUCAAAGAUCACUCUUUGGUCGGGGUGAGGUAAGGAGUAAUAUCAGAGUGCCUCGGUCAUCGAUAGGCCUCUCCUUAUUCAUUCUAAAGGGCGGUGCAAAAACGUUUUGACCCCAGGGUGGCAGACAUGGAGAGGAGGACUCCCUCGACCCGGUAUGGUUAGGGAGUAAGGUAAGGUUUUCAUCAUCAACCAAGGGCUGAGGGUGGAAUCGGAAGAGCUUAGUUAGAAAGUCUGCAAGCAAGCGAGAAAGUCGCUCUCUUUCGAGAACAUAUCAAAUAGAAUAAAUAGCCAAGAUUUCUCCCUAUCCUUAAAGGUAGGAAGAAGCUUUUCUUCGUUCUUCCAAACGAACAGACCUAGAAAGGCACUCACUUAUAACAACCUCGUCUGCCCAGCCCUUCUUCUUUCAAAGCUA